rnacentral:rRNA from 1 species
UGGGGAAUAUUGCACAAUGGAGGGAACUCUGAUGCAGCGACGCCGCGUGAACGAAGAAGGCUUUCGAGUCGUAAAGUUCUUUUAUAUGGGAAGAUAAUGACGGUAUCAUAGGAGGAAGCCCUGGCUAAAUACGUGCCAGCAGCCGCGGUAAUACGUAUGGGGCGAGCGUUGUCCGGAAUUAUUGGGCGUAAAGGGUACGUAGGCGGUUUUUUAAGUCAGGUGUCAAAGCGUGGAGCUUAACUCCAUUAAGCACUUGAAACUGAAAGACUUGAGUGAAGGAGAGGAAAGUGGAAUUCCUAGUGUAGCGGUGAAAUGCGUAGAUAUUAGGAGGAAUACCGGUGGCGAAGGCGACUUUCUGGACUUUUACUGACGCUCAGGUACGAAAGCGUGGGGAGCAAACAGG